GACGGGUGAGUACACGUACGUACCUGCCCUUGAAGUCUGGAUAGCUUGCGUAAGCGGNGCUACUACCGGUUAUACUCCUUNNUUCGUAUGUNAGAGGGAUGANAGUUGCCUUUUGGUAACGUNCANNNGCAUGACUGCGUUCCAUUAGCUAGUUGGUGAGGUAACGGCUCACCAAUGCAACGAUGGGUAGCCGGCCUGAGAUGGUGACCGGCCACACUGUGACUGAGAUACGGGCGAGACUCCUACNGGAGGCAGCAGUGAGGAAUGUUGCGCAAUGGCCGAAAUGCUGACGCAGCAACGCCGCGUGGGUGAUGACGCUCCAAGGAGUGUAAAGCCCUGUUAGGAAGGAAGAACGACAUUGGCGUGAAUAAUGUCAAUGCAUGACGGUACCUCCAGAGAAAGCCCCGGCUAACUCCGUGCCAGCAGCCGCGGUAAUACGGGGGGGGCAAGCGUUGUCCGGACUUAUUGGGCGUAAAGGGCGCGUAGGCGGAAUAAUAAGUCAGAGGUGAAAACCAUGGGCUUAACUUAUGGUUUGCCUUUGAAACUGUUAUUCUUGAGUGCGGCAGAGGGAAGUGGACUUCCUGGUGUAGCGGUGCAAUGCGUAGAUUUCAGGACAAACACCGGUAGCGAACGCGGCUUCCUGGUCCGUAACUGACGCUG
rnacentral:rRNA from 1 species